GAUGAACGCUGGCGGCGUGCCUAAUACAUGCAAGUCGAGCGAACGGACGAGAAGCUUGCUUCUCUGAUGUUAUCGGCGGACGGGUGAGUAACACGUGGAUACCCUACCUAUAAGACUGGUAUAACUUCGGGAAACCGGAGCUAAUACCGGAUAAUAUUUUGAACCGCAUGGUUCAAAAGUGAAAGACGGUCUUGCUGUCACUUAUAGAUGGAUCCGCGCUGCAUUAGCUAGUUGGUAAGGUAACGGCUUACCAAGGCAACGAUGCAUAGCCGACCUGAGAGGGGGAUCGGCCACACUGGAACUGAGACACGGUCCAGACUCCUACGGGAGGCAGCAGUAGGGAAUCUUCCGCAAUGGGCGAAAGCCUGACGGAGCAACGCCGCGUGAGUGAUGAAGGUCUUCGGAUCGUAAAACUCUGUUAUUAGGGAAGAACAUAUGUGUAAGUAACUGUGCACAUCUUGACGGUACCUAAUCAGAAAGCCACGGCUAACUACGUG
rnacentral:rRNA from 1 species